AUCGUGCUGGAGAUCUCUGCAUGCCUGAGGCCUUCUGAGGUGAGACAAUGAAUCCCAGAGCACAAGACCCUGUGUCAGUGAGUGAAGAAGCAGCCCGUGAUGUGUAAGCAAAGGGGCAAAGCAGCGUCUCACAGAGAAGCUUUUCACCUGGGAGAGGGUGAAGCACACUGCAAAGCCAGCACUCAGUGUAGCUGCCUGAGUGCACCGAGGUUUGGGCUGGAAGAGACCUUGUGGAAGACCCCAGCCCAUGCAAUGAUGGCAGAGAGAAGAUGCGUCCAUAAGCCUUUUAACUUGUUUCCUCUCAUAAUCCCCUUUUAGCUUAUUGCUUUGGGUAACAGAGGUGGGGAAAUCUGUAGAGCCCUGUGUAUGUCAGCAAGGAUAGGAAUCCAUCUCAAGGUCUCAUUCGUGCCUUUUGUUGUCCUUAGUGCCUUUCAGAACCACCCUAGUAUACUUCCCCAGCAUCACACAAGAAUUUUCUGCCUCAGCCCAUAUUUGAACCCAGGUCUCUCAGAUUCUAGCCUUUCUCUGCUAAGCUAGUUUGCUCCAUGUUUACUUCAUCAGCCUGCUGGGGUGUGAUUCCUUUUACGAUCUACAACCCAAUACAUAAAGAUGACACUAAAUGAAUCUUGGUUUAGGAUUCAGUCGGCAUGCUAAUUUCCUGUGGCUCCCAAGAUAUUUGGAAUUUGCUCAGACAAGGUCUGGGAGAUGGUGAAAUGUUCCCUGGGUGGGGUGAGAGCCUGAAGGCAGAGGUGACAGUUCUGUCUACCAGGCAUCAUCUGUUGUAGAGUGAGGGGGAUCUGCAGCAAAAAGCAAAACAGAUAAGUCACAGAGGAGUUCUUAGUACACAAUGCAAAUAGUGUCAGAGCUGAUAAUAAUGUGUCAGGAAGCAUAUGGAAAUCAGUGAAGCUUGGCCUGAGAGCCUGCUACAGAUUAAGAAGAAACAAAUGCAUUUUCUAUAGUAAUCCAGCCUCAGUCAUCUUUGGUUCACAAAGUCCCUGAGAUACUUUUCUAGGGAAGAGAGAGACUGAAGACAGUGAGGAAAAAGCUGGGUGGAAGGCUAGCUUAGACUAGUCAGUGUUGAAGGGCUUAGGCACUGGUCAACAAACCCCAUCAUUCAGUUCCACCGAAACAUCCUGCUCAUCUUUCUGCCAAAUGCCAAGGAAUGGCUUACAGGGAAAGGCCAACUCUGUGAACCUGCAUUCAUUUGCAGCUCACUGUGGGACCCAGGAAACCCUGUCAGAUUGAUAACAGGCUCACGGGAGACCUGACAGCAAAUGCAGACAGAGCUGCAAUUUUGCAGCAUGCCUGAGAAAAUGGCAGCUGGCCAAAGGCAGCAGGAGGCUCCCCUGGAAAGGCAGCCACAGGAGGUUAUGCUUAGAGCUAACUGUGAUCUGGACCCCAGAGAGCUGGGAUAUAGAGUAAGGAGUCUUGCCACAAUGUCUUGUGGUCUCAAUAGGAGUGUGGCUAAACAGGAUGGAAAAAGACAGUUGUACAUGUGACAUGUCCAGCAUCAUACAGCAAUCAGUGCCACAGCUGGUGAGACCAUGGAGCAGUCUCUAACUGGCAGAUGUUUUUAUUGUAAUAGACUUUCUUAGGUUUUUUCUUGGUUUUUGUUGCUGAUUUCACACAUAAUAAAAACAGGAGGAUGGAG
ensembl:lncRNA